GUGCGCGCACUGUUCUCAAGUAGUACCAUCAAAAUCAAUAUAUUCUCGCGUGAAACGAAACUGUAUCGUCUUCCUGCUUUUCUCAAAGAUAUUAGCGGCGAAAGGAUUUCUCGAACUCCUUCAAGAAAUCGAGGCAAUGUCGAGGGUUUGAGUUGUCGGGACCGAAUCGUUUCUACAAUAUAAAAAUAACAGAGUUUGUUUUGAAUAGUCAGGAGAUCUUAUUGAUUCGGGGAAAGAGAUGACCAAGUGAAAGAAACGACAGCAAUAAUGUACAAGUAAUACAUUAGAUCCAUCAGAAAUUAUGCCAGUUUUUUACCUGGAGCCCUCGACCUUUAUGGAGCAUUUCCAAGUACACUAUAGAAAAACACAACAGUGUACUACGUAUCACUACCGAAUGUAUUCAGGUAAUUCCCAUAUACUACCUGCUCAACGAAACAAAAUUACACCUGGCUAUGUGAGAAGCACAGUUUAUUGUCGCAGAAAACCCUGCCCCGCGAAAUACCCCCAGAACACUGAUACACAACGCGAGCGAAAUGAGGAGCAGAGCUAUAAUAGUUUCGGAUCUUUUCGGUUUGAACGGCAGUUUUUUAAAAUAAUUUCCACGUAACUAAACACUUUUAAACUUCGUAUACUGGUAGAAUGUGUUUAUAAAACAUCUUUUUCUCUUGGCUUUAUUGAGAAAAUUCUAUGGUUUGUAAGAUAUUUAUUGUUUAUUUUUCUUCAAUUUCUGCAAUUUCAACCAAUCACUGGCGUCUAUUGAAUCCAAAAACAUUCUGUGCCGUAUGAAUAUGUCCCUCGUUUAAGAAACAGAUUGGGUUUAUUUACAUUUCUGAAGAAAAAAGAUACCCUUCCCCACACCCCUAACCCUAACCCUAAAAGAGAUUGAAAUGCAAUAGAUCGAUACUAGGGUCAUAAUUAUGGGUGACAAUUUCAUAUGACACCGCUAGAAAAACUGCCGUUCAAACCGAAAAGAUCCAUAGUUUCUCUGUAUGUCACAAAUUGCAGUUAAAUCUUCCUUAAAUCGCCUACACACACACACACACACACACACACACACACACACACACACACACCAUCUUAAAAAGCAAUUUAAUGGAUUAUUUGAUUUUUAUUUAUUUACAAGAUUGGCCCUUGUGAAUUACAGGUACAACGGUACAACUCACUUUUGCCAGCUGAGUGCACUGGAAGAGUACCGUGUAACAAGGCGCCGCUGGUUUUCGAACUCUCGAUCUUGAGCCGAAUACCCUAACCUUUAAGCCACGCCCAAGCGGAUGCCAGCUGACACUUGCAUAAUCUCCUAUCGUUACACAAACAUACACAGAUAACGACACACGCACAUACACACUCUAACACAGUCACAUAUUGUUAUGUACACACACUCACAUGUUUACCUAUAUAAACACACACAGAUAUCAGCUGACAAUUAUAGUUUGAUAUUGUUAGACAAGCGUACACAGAUAACAAUCCGCACACACACACUCACAUAUCAGCAGACAUUCCAAAUGCAGUCUGUAUGUUAAAUAUUCAGAUACCAACAUACACAUUCAGUUAAUAUUGCGUACUAGCAGCAUAGCCCGGCGUUGCCCGGGUAUGUAAGAGCCCCUAGUAGGCAACGACUAAUCCAAAUCUAGUCCUUUCCUUCUAGGGAACGAAGGCGCAUGUGUAGGUUGCAAUGUCUUCUCUUCACUCGAAUACUUCUGUGUACACGAUGUUCCUAGCUGUCGCUUUGGGCGAUAAAAAGGUCGAGUUGUGCCCCUUAGACAGAAAAUGUGUUGCAUAUAAAAAGCUUAGAUUCUCGACCCCAUGUCGAAUUUAUCGAUUUUUUUCAGAACUGGGGGAACUUUUCAAAAUUUUCGCUGCGUUAGUUUUGAAUUAUGACAUUGGGCUAUGUGUGUGUCAAGUUUCAUCAGAAUCGGUUGAAAGCCGUGGUCAGGGUGAGGGUACAACCUGACAGACACACAGACAGACAAACUGCCUUUUAUAUUGAGAGAGAUAUACACACACACACAGUCUCACGUAGUCACGCGGCGCACAUACAAACAUACAGUCUCAUACAGGUACAGUUACGUGCACACAGUUUCAUACAGUUACGUGCACACGCAAUCACAUAGUCCCAUACAGUUACUAUUUCUUUACUACCCACAAGGGGCUAAACACAGAGGGGACAAACGGAUUAAGUCGAUUAUAUUGACCUCAGUGCGUAACUGGUACUUAUUUAAUCGACCCCGAAAGGAUGAAAGGCAAAGUCGACCUCGGCGGAAUUUGAACUCAGAACGUAGCGGCAGACGAAAUACCACUAAGCAUUUCGUCCGGCGUGCUAACGAUUCUACCGCGUGCGCGCACACAUAGUCUCAUACAGGUGCGCACGCGCGUAGUCUUAUGCCGUUACGCGCACACACACAAACGCAGUCUCAUAGAGUUAUGCGCGCACACACACACAUACACACACAAACACAAUUACGCGUACACACGCAAGCACACAAUCUCAUACAGUUACAUGCACACACACAAGCACACAGAUAUCAGCAGACGAUCACCGUCAUAUUUUUCAUUUAUUUAUUAUUUAUUGGAACGCUAAAAUCUUUGUAGGGCGAGUUGAGGGAGGAGGACGUAGUGACUACAGAAGACUGACACAUCAGUCUUACCAAACCAAUUUUAUUAAUAUCAGUAACUAACAGUAUCGCCCGGCGUUGCUCGGGUUUGUAAGGGAAACUAUAUAAGCAUUUUAAGAGAGUUAUAGCAAAAAAAUAGCAAAAAAAAUGCAUUAAAAUGGAAAAAAAUGAUGGUAAAUUUUUUUUUAAAUCGUUGACUCAUCGUAGACAUUUUUAGAGAGUUACUUCAAUGGCGAAAAAAAUGCAUUAAAAUGGAAAAAAAUGAUGGUAAAUUUUUGUUUAAAUCGUAGACUCAUCGUAGACGCGCGCUAAUACCCAGAAGGGCUCGAUAUGAAUCACGACUAUAAGAUACCCGGUUUUGGUUAAACUGCACCACAAAAUGUGGGAAUAGUUAAGAAUCUAAAUCAUAGGAGACAGACACACAACUUCACUUUUAUAUAUAAAGAUAUUAAUACGCUAACUUUUUGUUUUUGUACGUACCUGUUGUGUGCGUCACACUUACUUCAAAGAAGUGACAAAGCGAGAGAGAGGAGGACAAAGAAGUAAGAGAACAAGGGAGAAAGGGAGAGUGGACGAGACAUUGAGUGGUGACGGCGUUCGGUUUGUAUUUUUAAAUGUUUAUCACAUCGCAAGAGUAGAUACAUAUACACAUUGUUAAAUCAAAAGCAGGAGAGAAGGGGGGGGACAUAAUGGAAGUGAAAGAGAAAGUGAGAGAGACAGAUACAUAAAUCGUUCAUACAUAGAUACAUAGACACAGCACAUAUUGGAUGUCAAUUUUACUUUUCAUUACCACCCGAGGAUAAAAUUAACUCACAGGGAGAUUCAGCCUCACACAGAAUAUGACACACACACAAACACACACACACAUGAGUAUAUUUGUAUGUGUGUAUAGUCUAGGUUAGUUAAAACACGUUUGCAAUAAUAAGUGGAAAUAAACGCAAUUACCAAACUUUCAUUCAUAAAUCCAUUUAUUAUUUCGUUCUUUUGCAUUUCAAUUUGUACAUUAAGGUUCUUUGAAUAUGUAUGAUGCAUUUUAAGGUUAAAUAGUUAUUCCAUUUAUGUUUGUGUAACUGAGAUAUUUUGGUUCAAUUAUAUAGUCUUUGGUGUUACAUUACUUUCUAUAUUCUGUAACUGUCACAGUAUACUUUCCUCGUAUUUUUUGUGGGGAGGGGGCCAGUUGAUUAGAUUAACCCCCAGUACAUAACUGAUACUUAACUUAUCGACACCAAAAGGACGAAAGGCAAAGUCGAUCUCGGCAGAAUUUGAACUCAAACGGUCAUAAUAUACAAACAUUUCUCAUGGCAUCAAUACACUGUUUACAAAUGCUUUCAUUUUUUAUGUUUACUGUGAAUUUUUCACGGGUCUAGCUAGUAGAUAAUUAUUAUUGAGUGAGAGAGCAGUGCAUACCCGUCAAAGUAACUCGAAGGCCGGUAUACCUGUCUGAUAAGAGGACACCAGGCACAUGCAUCACAACCACAUGUGCGCGACAUGGUGAUCUCAUAUCAAGAUAAACAGUACAUGACCUUGCAGGUGGGGCCCAGUAAGAAUUUUCUUCAGGUCGAGUAGCCCAUCCCUAUCAAAAGGUCCCCGAAUAAGGGUUGUUUAAGGAUGUUGAACGAAACACCCAUGUUUCCAGAGGUGAAUUAUCCAAACCCCAAAGAAUCCCUCUCAACACAUGGACUAUGAUGCUCCCCCACUACUUCUGCUCGUGAUCAGAGAUGCACAUAUCGUCAGCCAUUAAGGGACAUGCUCAACUGGUUAUGGUCAAACAACUGACAAGCAAAUCUGUGGUAUUGAGCAGAAUAUUUGCUGUACUUAAACAUGUACUUAUUAUUAUUAUUAUUAUUAUUAUUAUUAUUAUUAUUAUUAUUAUUAUUAUUCCCAUUUCGUGCCUUAAAAGGCAAACAAAUUGUUUUAAAAUUUAUAAAAAAAUCUACUUCUCGGACAUAUCUUCACAACUGGUAACAACGCUGGAAAAUUACAUUAAUUACACCAAAUUUCAAAAUUUCCCACAGGUGCUGACAAACAGAAAAGAUCCAUUUCCUGAUCUUCUAAUUAUCAACUUUGAUCGGGUAACUUUUGACGACGACUCGAACAUAUCAGUUCAGAAAUAAUCAUUUCUAACACAAGGUUUCAUAUCAAGAGCAAACACGUGAAGAGAAGUCAGACCUCUCUCUCUCUCUCUCUUAUUUUGUUUUUGUCAUUUCACCUCACACAAACAAACUCUCAAAGAAAUAAUUAAAAUCAAGUGUUGAUAACUUGUUUUUUUUAUCUUUAGGAGACAUGUGAUUAGUUGUUUGUCUUCUGAACAUCUGACCGUUGAUUUUUGUUGCUGUUGUUCUUUGGCCCCCAGAUCAGUUCCGAUCGUGCACACCUAGUCUCAAAUGCCAUCCGGUAUCCUGGUUAUUUAUACAUAUAUACAUAAAUACAUACAUACAUAUUCAAACACAGGGUUUCUAGGAUUAGAUUAUCUGAUGUUUAGUGGCGCUUGUAGGAAGAUAAAAACGAAAGUGGUGGCUAAUGGAAAUGACGAUGAUGAUGAUGAUGAUGAAGGUGGUGAGCGGUAGAUGGGUGGCGGCGGUGGCGGUGGUGAUAAUUGUUGUUUACAUAUUAAAUGAAUGCUUUCAUCUUAAUUGUUGUUAUCUGAGAUGACGCGUAACGUGAAUAUACUGAGUGAUUUCAAAUGUUAAUUAUACUCCUUUGGGAGAUAAAUAUUAAUGAGAUUAUAUAAAUGUUGUUCAAUCUCCAGUUGCUGUUCUUGUUACUAUUGGUAUUGUCAUACUUGUUAGAAUGUUCUUAUCGUUGUUAAUGUUGAAGUUUUGAAGUACGGUAACGAUAACUAUUUGCCCAACCUCCUUUUGUCAAACUUUGUAUUUAAAUCUAUCUAUCUAUCUAUAUAUAUAUAUAUAGGGAGAGUUUACGAAAAAAGCAACAAAAGACGAAGACAGGUGGUGUACAAAACAAAUAGAUGUAUUAGUAUAAUGCUAAGGAAUAGAAAAAGUCUUUUACGUUUCGAGCCUACGCUCUUCUACAGAAAGGGACACAGAAAAAACAAGGAGAGAAAAAAAAUGUGUGUAGUGGCUAACGAUCUAUCAUGGCGUCUGAUAGAUCGUGUGUACCUAGGUGAAGGCUACCAAACCUGCCACACACACAGACAACUUCAGCUGUAUAUUUAUAUAUAAAUAUAUAUAUAUAUAUAUAUAUUUAUAUAUAAUAUAUAUAUAUAUAUAUAUAUAUAUAGCGUAACUUCGGUAUAUGUACCGGUGGAAGUAUCGGAUACAUUUCAAGAAAGUGGUUUUUUUUUAUAUAUGUGGGGGGGGGGGGGUUAUCUUCCCUAGAAGAUAAAAUUCAAAUCGGACCAUGUUCAGGUGGGAGAAAAGGGUUUCUGCUAUCUUCAGAAAUGUAAACAAAGUCACGUGUGUACCUAUAUCGAAGCAUCGCCAUAUAUAUAUAUAAAGCUGAAGUUGUCUGUGUGUGUGUGUGGCAGGUUUGGUAGCCUUCAACUAACACUAUCUCCUCCGAGACCCUGAGUAUGAUAGAAGAAGGCUUGCUCUUCAUUCCGUAGAAGAUAAAAUUCAAAUCGGACCAUGUUAAGAUCAAAAAUUAUUUACAUCAAAUAGGUGCUUUUUUUUCUAUGAAAAUCCCGAUUUUUUUACGAUUUUUUGACUGCUAUGUCGCCAUUUUUCGGUGUAUUUCAACCAGAAAAAUGUUCGCUUAAAGAGAAUAACAAGCUACAUAAUGCAAUUUUUUUACUUUUCAAAAAUUCCAAUUCUAAAGGGUCGAAACAAAUCCGAGUUAACGUUUGGAAGACGCAAGAGAGGAUUUUUUUCCCAUUCCAACAAGUAGAGAAUAUCUCGUCUCUCAUACAUUGCUGAUAUAUUUUGGAAAUGUCUAAACAUCAGACGCUUCUUUAUCCACCUCCUCCACUCCCUAUCGAUCCAAAGAUCAGUACCUAUGUAAAGGAAUAUGAUCAACUGUACAGAGAUCGACCCAACAAUUGAGAGUCGACAUUAGGGGUCUUCCCCAGCAAUAUUUAAUCCAACCCCUGGUUCAGUUUCCCGCACACAUUUCUGCUGCACACAAGCUCUGCAAGCAGCUCGUAUUUCCCCCUUUCUUUAUUGCUAAUAAAGUUAAUAUAGUCUAUAAUGACCGCUUUAUCCAUUUACUUCAAGGAGGAAUUACAACCGCGUUUCGGGGUCUGCUACCACAACAGCUCCUUUAAAGGAUCCAGUUAGCCCAAGACAUCAUCAGGAGGAACCACAUCCGGUUUCGGCCUCUACUCCUCUAUGACACCGCUAGAAAAAACUGCCAUUUUUUCUAGCGGUGUCAUAUGAAAUUGUCACCCAUAAUUACGACCCUAGUAUCGAUCUAUUGCAUUUCAAUCUAUUUUAGAUUUAGGGUUAGGGUUAGGGUGGGGGGAAGGGUAUCUUUUUUCUUCACAAAUGUAAAUAAACCCAAUCUGUUUCUUAAAGGAGGGACAUAUUCAUACGGCACAGAAUGUUUUUGGACUCAAUAGACGCCAAUGAUUGGUUAAAAUCGCCAAAAAUGCAAGGAAUUAAACACGAAUUAUGUUGCAAACUACAGAAUUUUCUCAAGAAAGCCAAGAGAAAAUGAUGUUUUAUAAACACAUUCUACCAGUAUACGAAGUUUAAAAAUUUUUAGUUACGUAGAAAUUAUGUUAAAAACUGCCGUUCAAACCGAAAAGAUCCGGUUCUCCUUUUCCAGAGCUAGAAGCUCCACCUCUUAUCCCCCCAAACAAUUUCCUCUCAGGAGUGGCUGUGUGGUAAAUAGCUUGCUUACCAACCACAUAGUUCCGGGUUCAUUCCUACUGCGUAGCACCUUGGACAAGUGUCUUCUACUAUAGCCUCGGGCCGAACAAAGCCUUGUAAGUGGAUUUGGUAGACGGAAACUGAAAGAAGCCUGUCGUAUAUAUGUAUAUACAUAUAUGUGUGUGUGUGUGUGUGUGUAUGUUUGUGUGUCUGUGUUUGCCCCCCCUCCUAGAACAUCGUUUGAUAACCGAUGCUGGUGUGUUUACGUCCCAGUAACUUAGCGGUUCGGCAAAAUAGACCGAUAGAGUAAGUGCUAGGCUUCCAAAGAAUAAGUCCUGGGGUCGAUUUGCUCGACUAAAGGCGGUGCUCCAGCAUGGCCGCAGUCAAAUGACUGAAACAGGUAAAAGAGUAAAAGAGAGUAAAGCUCAGGAAAGACUCACAAUGGAAUACUACUCCCAUAUCUGGGUCGGGGAUGCUGCUGCUACCACACACACACACACACAAAUGGCACUCCGUCGGUUGCGACGACGAGUGUUCCACUUGAUCCGAUCAACGGAACGGCCUGCUCGUGAAAUUAACGUGCAAGUGGUUGAGCACUCCACAGACACGCGUACCCUAAACAUAGUUCUCAGGGAGAUUCACUGUGACACAGAAUGUGACAAAGCUGGUCCUUUGAAAUACGGGUACAACUCAUUUUUGCCAACUGAAUUGAAAGGAGCAGCUUGAAAUAAAAGUGUCUUGUUCAAGAACAUAACACGCCGCCGGGAAUCGAACUCGCAACCAAACGAUCAUGAGCUGAAUUGCCUAAGCACGCGCCUAACCUACGCGCCUUCAUUAUACACGCGUGCACACAAACACGCGCGCGCGCACACAAACACUAUGUAAUGAGAAACUGAUUAGUCUGUAGUCGCUCAUCCACCCACUCUAAUCCAACCUCAAUCUAAAGGACAUACUUUCUCCCAUCUUUUACUGCUUCUACAGUCGUAUCUGCUUCUCUGGGUUGGCUGAUCUCAUGCCAUCUCAACUCAGCCACCCCUAAUAUACCCGUUUUUUUUUUUUACCUCUUUUCAUCACGCGUAUUGCGUUCUUCCCAGAUACCACACAUGAUUUUUCUUUCUGCAGCCAUUUUACUUGUAACUGUUCAAGAGGAACAUAUACCCGCAUCGAUCUUACCGCUCUCCGAGUACCUACAAAAAAUAUGGGUACAGCUUCUUCACCCAGAUCAAUUCUAUAAAAAAAGGGAAACUUUCGUAAGUGAUGUAUAAGAAAAUGACCAAUAACACUUAGUUUUGUGCUCAGGAUGAGAGAGAAAGUGUGUGCGUUUGUUAGAUUGUUUUCGCUGAGUCAGAUAGAUGGUAGUUAGGCAGGAAGUUUAAUUUGCAAUUAGAUAACAAACUUGAUUGCAGAGUUGAUCGUUUCUUUCUUUCUUUCCUUCGUUCUUUCUUUCUUCCUUCUUUCUUUCUUUCUUUCUAGCUUUCUUUCUAUCUUUCUUUCUUCUUUUCUUUUCAGGCAAUUGGAACGAAGACGAGAAGAGAACGGA
rnacentral:lncRNA from 1 species